UACGGCCAUAUCACGUUGACUCAUCGGUUCUCGUACGAUCACCGAAGUUAAGCAACGUCGAGCCUAGUCAAUACCUAGAUGGGUGUCUGCUUUGGAAUGUCAGGUGCU